rnacentral:rRNA from 1 species
GGCUCAGAACGAACGCUGGCGGCGUGGAUAAGACAUGCAAGUCGAACGGGACCAGGUUUGUAGCAAUACAAGCUUGGUUCAGUGGCGCACGGGUGCGUAACACGUGAGCAAUCUGCCGGGAAGUGGGGGAUAGCUCGCCGAAAGGCGAAUUAAUACCGCAUGUGGCCAUUCUUCGAGUGGAGGAAAAGCCAAAGCAGCAAUGCGCUUCCUGAUGAGCUCGCGGCCUAUCAGCUAGAUGGCGGGGUAAUGGCCCACCAUGGCUUUGACGGGUAGCUGGUCUGAGAGGACGACCAGCCACACUGGAACUGAGAUACGGUCCAGACACCUACGGGUGGCAGCAGUCGAGAAUUUUUCACAAUGGGGGCAACCCUGAUGGAGCGACGCCGCGUGGAGGAUGAAGGCCUUCGGGUUGUAAACUCCUGUCAUGCGGGAACAAGCAAGUGAUAGUACCGCAAGAGGAAGAGACGGCUAACUCUGUGCCAGCAGCCGCGGUAAUACAGAGGUCUCAAGCGUUGUUCGGAUUCAUUGGGCGUAAAGGGUGCGUAGGUGGUGACGCAAGUCUGGUGUGAAAUCUCGGAGCUCAACUCCGAAAUUGCACCGGAUACUGCGUGACUCGAGGACUGUAGAGGAGAUCGGAAUUCACGGUGUAGCAGUGAAAUGCGUAGAUAUCGUGAGGAAGAUCAGUUGCGAAGGCGGAUCUCUGGGCAGUUCCUGACACUGAGGCACGAAGGCCAGGGGAGCAAACGGGAUUAGAUACCCCGGUAGUCCUGGCAGUAAACGGUGCACGUUUGGUGUGGGCGGGUUCAGACCCCGUCCGUGCCGGAGCUAACGCGUUAAACGUGCCGCCUGGGAAGUACGGUCGCA